rnacentral:ncRNA from 1 species
GGUUCGGGAGCCUCCCGGUGGGACGGGGGGCGAUGAAUUGAACCUGACCCCCUGCUUCGCAAGCGGCGCAUGCCCGUGGCCCGACGGUCCUGC